UGGGGAAUAUUGGACAAUGGGGGCAACCCUGAUCCAGCCAUGCCGCGUGUGUGAAGAAGGCCUUUUGGUUGUAAAGCACUUUAAGCAGGGAGGAGAGGCUAAUGGUUAAUACCCAUUAGAUUAGACGUUACCUGCAGAAUAAGCACCGGCUAACUCUGUGCCAGCAGCCGCGGUAAUACAGAGGGUGCGAGCGUUAAUCGGAAUUACUGGGCGUAAAGCGAGUGUAGGUGGCUCAUUAAGUCACAUGUGAAAUCCCCGGGCUUAACCUGGGAACUGCAUGUGAUACUGGUGGUGCUAGAAUAUGUGAGAGGGAAGUAGAAUUCCAGGUGUAGCGGUGAAAUGCGUAGAGAUCUGGAGGAAUACCGAUGGCGAAGGCAGCUUCCUGGCAUAAUAUUGACACUGAGAUUCGAAAGCGUGGGUAGCAAAACAGGAUUAGAUACCCUGGUAGUCCACGCCGUAAAACGAUGUCUACUAGCCGUUGGGGUCCUUGAGACUUUAGUGGCGCAGUU
rnacentral:rRNA from 1 species